GCCCGGUAGCGUAGCGGUAAUCGCUCCCGAGAGGUUCAUGCUCCCACAAUUGGGAUUGACAGAACCGGCUCGGGAAGCCCUGUUCGACUCAGGGACUGGGCA